CUGGAAAUGAUGCACAAAGUGUUCUCUGAAUGUGGUGAUGUUUCACAUAUUCGUACUGUCUGAUCCAA